rnacentral:lncRNA from 1 species
AUUUGCUGAGGGCAUUUGCUCAGGACACUCCAGCUCCACUAGCCUUUUCCAGCUCCUCCAGCACUACGCUGACCUCCUUCCAACUCAUCCAACACAUCAAACUACUUCCUGCCUCAGAGCCUUCCCUCUGCUUGGACAUCUUUUUCUCCAUUUCUUGCUUGACCAACUUGUUUCUACUCAACUUCCAGAUUCCUGUUUUAAGGUUGGUUUUAAGAGCAGCCUUCUGAGAUCCUCCCAAGGUCAAGGGUUAGUCACCUGGUAAGAAGCUGCCAAUUGCAAAUAAGAGUGUGCACUUGCUGGAUGUCUUCUGUUUGCUCUCUUGACCCACCUUCUACCAUUCCCCACCUUCUUCUUUGCCUCCGGAAGGGAGCUUUCUGGACUGCACCAACAAGCUACUUUGUCCUCUGGCUUGUCCUCGGAUUCAGUCAGUGGGAGGUACCCACAAGGUGACUUAGAAGGCAGAAGAGGAAUGAGGUGUGGUGGCUCACGUCUGAAAUCCCAGCACUUUGGGAGGCCAAGGGGGUGG